GUGUUUUCUUCUGCAGCACAUGUUCUAAAAUUGGAACAAUACAAAGAAUAUUAGCAUGGCCUUGCACAAGGAUGACACGCAAAUUCAUGAAGUGUUCCAUAUUUUU